CAGUAUACUCCAUCUAUCGGUAUUAGUCAAUUGGUAGUUGUCUCCUGACAAGGCCCAGCUCCCAUCUAUAUAAAACACAUAAAAAGAAAAGUGUGCCAUGCAUGCCCGGGCUAGUAUAUCACCUCACAGUCUUUUUGAUGCAGACCCAGCUCACAUCACUAAAUUUUAGCUCGUGAUAUUUUCGACAAAUUCGCCGAAUAUUUAACCUUGUGCAAAUUAAGAAGAUGUCAUCAACCUCCAAAGGGGACAGUGCUGAUGACGUGACCGCUGGUCCUCCCAAACCGAACAAGAGUUGGGUGUCAAAUUUGGCCUCUCAUUUAAAAGCUAUUGCUGAGCUUCAAUCACUUCCUAAUGAGGUUAGACAAAUUAAAGAAAUAUUGCUGGGCACACAAAGUAAUGGCCAACGGAAUUCAGUGGGCGUUGUUGACGACACAAUGCAAAGUUUGCUCCAGCAUGAGAAAGAUAUAUUAAAUAAAAGUCAGCUUGAACCUGAAUUUGGACCGGAUUUGCACGUCAACGUGGCCAAUUCUUUUUCGAAUUUAGGGAAAACAGUGUUAUCCAAAGAGAGGAUCGAAGAAUUAAGGAAAACCUUUCUUACACCAGCUAAUUGUAAACUUCUUGGGGUUCCAAAGGUAAACCCCGAAAUAUGGACCGUAUUGCCUCAGAAAUCAAAACAGGGAGAUUUCCAAUCCCACCAAAUGCUAGCAAUUCUUUCAAGCUCAACAGUUGCAUUGGCUCAUUUAGCAGAAAAGUGAUGUUGAAUUCUAAAAAGAUGCCCCCAGAGUCAAGAUCUUCUGAGGCGGACUAUUCAAGCUGCAACAUUGAAUUCAAAAUUGAGGCAAGAUAUCAAUAUUAAGCGGAAGCAGGAUAUUAAACCUGCAUUAAGCACUGAAAUUGUGGCAGUGUGUAACACGCCAUCAACACCUGAGCUACUGUUUUGAGACAGUGUUUGUGACACCAUCGAAGCCGCUACCACGGUUGGAAAAAACCGGAGAGGAUUUUCCUGUUUUCCGAGCAGACCAUGAAGACCAUUGUGUCGACCAGUAAAUAUGUGGGAAUUGAGAGUGGAUCAUGCACAACAGUUCUUAAUGAGCCGGGUAUUUGCUCAGGCCUCCUGGAUUGUUACACCUUGGCACUACCUGCAAAUGGAUGUCCUGCACCCGACCUCUUCUGUUGCCCGUAUCCAGCAAGAUAAAAAUAUGUCGGAAACGAGUCAAAAAUGCCAGAAACACAUGUUUGUCCUUUGUAUGUACACAUACCUAUAAUUUAGAUGAUUAUGUUAAUCAUGUAAUUAUGUUAAUUAUGUUAAACCAUACGACAUAUAUAACAACAAAUUUUAUUUCGUUAAUAUACAAUUAUUUACAUGCUCUAGAUAAGCUGCUAAAUCCGAUUAGAAAUUUACUUUGUAGGCUAUACAUACAUACAUACAUGUAGGCAUAUGUACUUAUAUCAUAGUUUGUACAUGUUUACAUAAAUAUUUAAUUACACCUGUACAUACAUCAGGAAUUCAUUAAACGGUGCAAAAUGCAAUGAUUCUUAACUUUAAACUUGUAAUAAUGACAUGUGUUUUUACCAUGAGGCGUGAAGGGAGCUUAAUUGCAAAUACAUCAAUCAAUGUACUCCAUUGUAUUCCAUAUUAUUUAAUCUCACUUUAUUCGAGAAGUUAGUUCCAUGGAAUUGUGUACUCAUAAAUAAAGAAAAUAAAUAAAUGUUUUUCUUCAAAUUUA